GGAAUGUGUAAAAAAAGAAUGUUUAAUAUUACCUCUAUUUUUGUUGAAUUUCAUCCCAAAAAUAAUUCAAACACAUUUUGCUCUAAAAAAGGUGUAAAUUUGCUAUGGAAUGACUAAUUUUUAUUCGACUUUGAUGCAAUAUUCAACACAACAGAUUUCGAACACCAACUUCGAAAGAUUGCGAGAGACAACUGUCAAAUGUUUUUGUUUUGAUUUUUGGAAAAAUAUUCAGCUGUUGGUUUUGAAUGUUGUUUUGUGUGGUCCUGAAGUUGGUUGCGGCCUAAAGAGGAAUUUUCCGCUUCCAGAACGGUCAAUCGACCACAAAACUGUCCGGGAGCAUAAAAUAUCACGGUCAGGGCGCCGGGAGAGGUUCACAGUGAUUAUGUUGUGGAAAACACACACACAGAGUGACGGACGCUUCCGGUCUCUUUUCGGCACCGUCAGGAAGUCUGGGCGUUAUGGUUCCGCAGCCUCCGCCAGCACUAUCUCCGGAUGCGUAGCGGGUUCUGCUGGCCAAGCUCCGCGGGAUGGGCAAGUUUUUUGAGCUGCUGGAUAAUGUGUAGAAGAUUGUUCCGAUGCGGAAGAUGCCGUAAGUUCAGGUCGUCGAAGUAUUCGGGAGGUUUUUGAGUGCCGGAUACCGAUAAAGACAAACUCCAGGGGAAGGUUCAAGUGCCGGUCCAUGAUCCUGUUGGCCAAACACUACUUUAAACUGAAGCCGGAAUAUUUGGUCGGCCGAUGACGAUUGCGAUUUUUGGCCUAAAAACUGACCAAGCUUGUCGACAACCAGUUUCGAUUAGAGGGUGUUUAGUUUCCGGUAGAGACGAACCAUCCGUGAGGCAGCCAUCGAAACUGCCGCCGCACUUCCGCGGCAGCGUUGAAUUCGUCAACACCGAUGUAGAGGUCUAGGCAGCCGAAACGGUCAAGGAGUUCAUCCCAUGCAAGUUCCUCGCGGCUUCUGCCCCGACCGCUGCUACCGUCAGAAAAAAAUGUCUGAAAUCUCCAGCUCAACCGGUACUACACGCGAGUUGGACGGGCAGCUGCAGCUGGGCUUGCAGACGGUAAAAUUUGUACCAGCUUACUAGACCAACAUGUUACCCUCAAACAAUCCCCAGAGGAACCAGAUAAUUGACAUUUCCGACGGUGAGACGGCCAUGGAGGAAAUACUCAACGAGCUGGUACUGGACCAAUUGUGUCAGAGUAACUCCGUACAAUUGCUCCUACUGUGGCCAGAAUCUCGGUGAAAGUUGGUAGUCCUAAAAGCAUAGGUUUUGACGAAAUUAAUAAAAAAUAUGUUA